rnacentral:tRNA from 1 species
AGGGUUGUAGUUAAUUAUAACAUUUGAUUUGCACUCAAAAAGUACUUCCAAAUAAGUCUUCCUUA